rnacentral:tRNA from 2 species
CAAAAUGUAGCUUAACUAAAGCCCUUCGCUUACACCGAAAAGAUACCUAUUAACCCGGGUCAUUUUGA